GCCACCACAGCAGUACCCCUGUCGAGGCUAGGACCCCAGGACUGGAGGGCAGGCAUACACUCCCCUAAGUGCCGGAGGAAAGGGCUAACCUGUGCCCGGGGCCCUGGACCCGCCUGCCGACGCGUGGUGCCGGAGCUGCGCUCCCAGCACUGGCUGCAGCGUCCSGGUUGGACAUCGCCGCAGAGCUGUCGCAGUGUGCGGAGGCUCUGCGAAUCCUGGUGGAGGCGGAUUAAAGAAAAGAACUUGACUGCUCACCAGGAAUUCGGGUUCCUUAAGAUCUUGGCGCUUCACCCUUAAAACCAUACAGGGCUGAUUGUUUCCAGAUCCUGACCCGGUGACAUUCCUCCCUCCAAAGUUGGCCUUGGCCCAGACAUCUUUUCAAGAAAAGCAAUUUAAUUAAGAGAGACAGGGUCUCACUGAGUUGCUUAGCACCUUGCUACAUUGCUGAGGCUGACUUUGAACUUGGGAUCCUCCUGCUUUACCCUCCCACCGGCACAUCUCACAUUGUGAAUCCAUGUGAAUUAGGACAUUUGGUUCUCGGCGGACACAACAUCUUUGUUUGUAUGUGGUGCU